UGGGAUGACGUCAAAUCAUCAUGCCCCUUAUGGCCUGGGCUACAAACGUAAUACAAUGGCGUAAUACAAAGGGAUGCGAAAGGGCGACCUGGAGCAAAACUCACAAAGUACGUCUCAGUUCAGAUUGGAGUCUGCAACUCGACUCCAUGAAGGCGGAAUCGCUAGUAAUCGCGGAUCAGCAUGCCGCGGUGAAUACGUUCUCGGGUUU
rnacentral:rRNA from 1 species